GACGAACGCUGGCGGCGUGCUUAACACAUGCAAGUCGAACGGAAAGGCCCUGCUUUUGUGGGGUGCUCGAGUGGCGAACGGGUGAGUAACACGUGAGUAACCUGCCCUUGACUUUGGGAUAACUUCAGGAAACUGGGGCUAAUACCGGAUAGGAGCUCCUGCUGCAUGGGGGGGGUAGGAAAGUUUCGGCGGUGGGGGAUGGACUCGAGGCUUAUCAGCUGGUUGGUGGGGUAGUGGCUUACCAAGGGUUUGACGGGUAGCCGGCAUGAGAGGGUGGCCGGCCACCUUAGGACUGAGAUACGGACCAGAAUCCUACGGGAGGCAGCAGUGGGGAAUAUUGCACAGUGGGCCGAAGCCUGAUGCAGCAACGCCGCGUGCGUGAUGACGGCCUUCGGGUUGUAAACCGCUUUCGCCUGUGACGAAGCGUGAGUGACGGUAAUGGGUAAAGAAGCACCGGCUAACUACGUG
rnacentral:rRNA from 1 species